GGGGAUGUAGCUGAGUGGUAGAGUGCUUGCCUAGCAUGUAUGAGGCCCUGGGUUCCAUCCCCAGUACCA
rnacentral:tRNA from 1 species